rnacentral:lncRNA from 1 species
GCAAAUGGCAGGUGAUUGUUAUCAAUCACAGGGAGUAAACCCAGUGAGCUCUCUCAUACUCAUCCUGACCUUGAAUUAACUUAUGCUGCCUUUCAGUGGUUAUUCUCAGAAGUGUCAAUAUCUAUUUUGGUUUUAUAUCACAUUGGAAGUGGAUUCCUCUGUGCCUCCUGUUUCCCCUUUGACAUUGAUAUGAUGAAGAGAUCUAAAAGAUUACCUGUGUCCUCCUUCUGGAUUUGGAUGAUCAAUUCUUCAUGGGCAAGCUUUCUUAGAUGAAGAAGCCAGACAUGGAAGACACCAUUGGAAGUAUUUGAUACACACAUGCCUUUCUUUGAGACCAGUUAACAGGUUUGUUGAGUUGUUUCUUUAUUAAUUUAUUUUUCAAUGCCAGUUUAUAGGGUACUUAAAU